rnacentral:rRNA from 6 species
UAGCGCGGUGGUCCCACCUGACCCCAUGCCGAACUCAGAAGUGAAACGCUGUAGCGCCGAUGGUAGUGUGGGGUCUCCCCAUGCGAGAGUAGGGAACUGCCAGGC